rnacentral:rRNA from 1 species
UUAGUGGCGGACGGGUGAGUAACGCGUGGGUAACCUGCCUUACACUGGGGGAUAACACUUAGAAAUAGGUGCUAAUACCGCAUAAGCGCACGAAGCCGCAUGGAUUUGUGUGAAAAACUCCGGUGGUGUAAGAUGGACCCGCGUCUGAUUAGCUGUUGGCGGGGUAACGGCCCACCAAGGCGACGAUCAGUAGCCGGCCUGAGAGGGUGGACGGCCACAUUGGGACUGAGACACGGCCCAAACUCCUACGGGAGGCAGCAG